GACAGAGGGUGCAAACGUUGUUCGGAAUUACUGGGCGUAAAGCGCGUGUAGGCAGCUCGGAAAGUCGGAUGUGAAAGCCCUGGGCUCAACCUAGGAAGUGCAUUCGAUACUGCCAAGCUUGAGUGCUGGAGAGGAAGGCGGAAUUCUCGGUGUAGAGGUGAAAUUCGUAGAUAUCGAGAGGAACACCAGUGGCGAAGGCGGCCUUCUGGACAGUCACUGACGCUGAGACGCGAAAGCGUGGGGAGCAAACAGG
rnacentral:rRNA from 1 species